rnacentral:rRNA from 1 species
GACGAACGCUGGCGGCGUGCUUAACACAUGCAAGUCGAACGAAGAGCGAUGGAAGCUUGCUUCUCUCAAUCUUAGUGGCGAACGGGUGAGUAACGCGUAAUCAACCUGCCCUUCAGAGGGGGACAACAGUUGGAAACGACUGCUAAUACCGCAUACGAUCUAAUCUCGGCAUCGAGGAUGGAUGAAAGGUGGCCUCUACAUGUAAGCUAUCACUGAAGGAGGGGAUUGCGUCUGAUUAGCUAGUUGGAGGGGUAACGGCCCACCAAGGCGAUGAUCAGUAGCCGGUCUGAGAGGAUGAACGGCCACAUUGGGACUGAGACACGGCCCAGACUCCUACGGGAGGCAGCAGUGGGGAAUCUUCCGCAAUGGACGAAAGUCUGACGGAGCAACGCCGCGUGAGUGAUGACGGCCUUCGGGUUGUAAAGCUCUGUUAAUCGGGACGAAAGGCCUUCUUGCGAAUAGGGAGAAGGAUUGACGGUACCGGAAUAGAAAGCCACGGCUAACUACGUG